GUAUAGACCCGAAACCCGGUGAUCUAGCCAUGGGCAGGUUGAAGGUUGGGUAACACUAACUGGAGGUCCGAACCCGUGAAUGUUGAAAAAUUCUGGGAUGACUUGUGGAUAGGGGUGAAAGGCCAAUCAAACCUAGACAUAGCUGGUUCUCCGCGAAAUCUAUUUAGGUAGAGYGUCCGACGAAUUCCUUGGGGGGUAGAGCACUGGAUGGUUGCGGGCUGCGCGAGUGGUACCAAUACUAACCAAACUCCGAAUACCCAAGAGAACUAUCGGGCAGACACACGGCGGGUGCUAACGUCCGUCGUGAAGAGGGAAACAACCCU
rnacentral:rRNA from 1 species